rnacentral:rRNA from 1 species
CGGCGGACGGGUGAGUAAUGCCUAGGAAUCUGCCUGGUAGUGGGGGACAACGUUUCGAAAGGAACGCUAAUACCGCAUACGUCCUACGGGAGAAAGCAGGGGACCUUCGGGCCUUGCGCUACCAGAUGAGCCUAGGUCGGAUUAGCUAGUUGGUGAGGUAAUUGCUCACCAAGGCGACGAUCCGUAACUGGUCUGAGAGGAUGAUCAGUCACACUGGAACUGAGACACGGUCCAGACUCCUACGGGAGGCAGCAGCC